GGCUCUUGGUCUCUUAGACAUCUUCUCAAGAUUAUGCUAAGAGAAAUGACUGCACCCUUUUCCUGAGCUAUGGCAGUCAGACCUGGCAGUGGUAACUACUCUACAGAACUCCCAAACCUGGCAAGGAUGGUGCAGAUUUUGGCAGAUUAUGGCUUUGUCCCCACCCAGCACUGAUGAUAUUAUAAACAGACCUAUACUACAAGAAAUGAUAAUGGAAGUUCUUCAACUGAGCAAGAAAUGAUAUUAACAGAAAACUUGGAUCUUCAGAAGCAAAUGAAGAACAUCAGAAAUGUAGCAACAGCUGCUGAGAAGAGAUGACUAAAAGCUGAAAAGUGAAGAAUUAACACUGAUUUCUUGGCAGAAGCAGAAGCUUCAGGACUCCUGAAUUGAGGGAAUGAUCUAAAUUCCAAGGAUUAUCUCUCAGUGAGAACAAGCAACUUUCAUUGUUAGAGAGAGGAGAGAGAGAGAAGCCUUGUUGGUUGACGUCACUUGGUUCAUGAAGCCUUCGCCUAGAAGUGAAGCUGCUGAACAAACCUUGAGAAGAAUCAUCUCCUGCUUCAAUCUGCUGCUGGAUAGGAACUAAUCAGAGAGAGAGAGGCGGAAGACGGAGAAGGAGGGAGUCGAAGGCUUUCCCGAUCACAAAUCUCACCUCCACUACAACUCUCUUUAUACUUUUCUUGCAGAAAUAAUAAUAGAAAUAAGGAGGUGGUGGGGUUUCCAAAAAUCUUAACCUUCAACCAUCUGGGGAAAAGGCAAAAAUCCCAUCUACCGCAACUCUCAGUUCGAGAGUAAAGGUUUCCCAACAGUGAUGUCACAAGAUUGACCACAUUGAUCACAGUAAGACCAAAAUGAUAGUUAAGCUUUUAAGGAAGUUUGGUUUUCUCUGAGAAUGAGAAUUGACUUAGAAAACAUAUAUAAUUUGAAAUUAUUAUUUCUUUUGCUAGCCAGUUGAAUGUUAACAUUUUAAAUGAAUCAUAUCUUAUACUUCUAGCUAGUUAUUUAAAUACUUUUAAAAUAUUACUUUAAAGGAUUUAAAAAACAUUUAAAAUGAAAAUUACUUUUAAUUUACAACUGAAAUUACAGGCCUAAAUAUACUAAAUUAUUUCAGUGUGACUUAAAUUCUGAACGUCAUCUUUUUUGAGUUUUUAUUUUUACCAGAAAAUGACAGAAAGGUUAAGGUGAUUCCACAUUAGGAAAUAUAUAUAAAAGUAAAUUACUUGAGAUUGUAAUGAAUUAUUAAGGAAAGAUUAUGAAAAUGUAGCCUUGGUAGGCUGGGCGCGGUGGCUCACGCCUGUAAUCCCAGCACUUUGGGAGGCCGAGGUGGGUGGAUCAGCUGAGGUCAGGAGUUCGAGACUAGCCUGGCCAACAUGGUAAAACCCCGACUCUACUAAAAAUACAAAAAUAGCUGGGCAUGGUGGCACACACCUGUAAUCCCAGCUACUCGGGAGGCUGAAGCAGGAGAAUCACUUGAACCCGGGAGGUGGAGGUUGCAGUGAGCUGAGAUUGUGCCACUGCCCUCCAACCUGG
rnacentral:lncRNA from 1 species